rnacentral:rRNA from 1 species
UUCCGGNUGAUCUUGCCGGAGGUUACUGCUAUCGAGGUUCGACUAAGCCAUGCGAGUCGAAUGCCGCAAGGCAUGGCGUACUGCUCAGUAACACGUGGACAACCUACCCUUAGGACUGGGAUAACCCCGGGAAACUGGGAAUAAUCCCCGAUAGUCCUCGAAGGCUGGAACGCAUCGAGGGCGAAAGCUCCGGCGCCUAAGGAUGGGUCUGCGGCCUAUCAGGUAGUAGUGGGUGUAGCGUACCUACUAGCCUACGACGGGUACGGGUUGUGAGAGCAAGAGCCCGGAGAUGGAUUCUGAGACACGAAUCCAGGCCCUACGGGGUGCAGCAGGCGCGAAAACUUUACAAUGCUGGCAACAGCGAUAAGGGAACCUCGAGUGCCAGGUUACAAAUCUGGCUGUCGAGAUGCCUAAAAAGCAUUUCAUAGCAAGGGCCGGGCAAGACCGGUGCCAGCCGCCGCGGUAACACCGGCGGCUCGAGUGGUAACCGUUAUUAUUGGGUCUAAAGGGUCUGUAGCCGGCCGGAUAAGUCUCUUGGGAAAUCUGGCAGCUCAACUGUCAGGCUAUCAGGAGAUACUGUCUGGCUCGAGGCCGGGAGAGGUGAGAGGUACUUCAGGGGUAGGGGUGA